AGAGUUUGAUCCUGGCUCAGGACGAACGCUGGCGGCGUGCCUAAUACAUGCAAGUCGAGCGGACAGAUGGGAGCUUGCUCCCUGAUGUUAGCGGCGGACGGGUGAGUAACACGUGGGUAACCUGCCUGUAAGACUGGGAUAACUCCGGGAAACCGGGGCUAAUACCGGAUGGUUGUUUGAACCGCAUGGUUCAAACAUAAAAGGUGGCUUCGGCUACCACUUGCAGAUGGACCCGCGGCGCAUUAGCUAGUUGGUGAGGUAAUGGCUCACCAAGGCAACGAUGCGUAGCCGACCUGAGAGGGUGAUCGGCCACACUGGGACUGAGACACGGCCCAGACUCCCACGGGAGGCAGCAGUAGGGAAUCUUCCGCAAUGGACGAAAGUCUGACGGAGCAACGCCGCGUGAGUGAUGAAGGUUUUCGGAUCGUAAAGCUCUGUUGUUAGGGAAGAACAAGUGCCGUUCGAAUAGGGCGGUACCUUGACGGUACCCAACCAGAAAGCCACGGCUAACUACGUGCCAGCAGCCGCGGUAAUACGUAGGUGGCAAGCGUUGUCCGGAAUUAUUGGGCGUAAAGGGCUCGCAGGCGGUUUCUUAAGUCUGAUGUGAAAGCCCCCGGCUCAACCGGGGAGGGUCAUUGGAAACUGGGGAACUUGAGUGCAGAAGAGGAGAGUGGAAUUCCACGUGUAGCGGUGAAAUGCGUAGAGAUGUGGAGGAACACCAGUGGCGAAGGCGGCUCUCUGGUCUGUAACUGACGCUGAGGAGCGAAAGCGUGGGGAGCGAACAGGAUUAGAUACCCUGGUAGUCCACGCCGUAACGAUGAGUGCUAAGUGUUAGGGGGUUUCCGCCCCUUAGUGCUGCAGCUAACGCAUUAAGCACUCCGCCUGGGGAGUACGGUCGCAAGACUGAAACUCAAAGGAAUUGACGGGGGCCCGCACAAGCGGUGGAGCAUGUGGUUUAAUUCGAAGCAACGCGAAGAACCUUACCAGGUCUUGACAUCCUCUGACAAUCCUAGAGAUAGGACGUCCCCUUCGGGGGCAGAGUGACAGGUGGUGCAUGGUUGUCGUCAGCUCGUGUCGUGAGAUGUUGGGUUAAGUCCCGCAACGAGCGCAACCCUUGAUCUUAGUUGCCAGCGCUCAGUUGGGCACUCUAAGGUGACUGCCGGUGACAAACCGGAGGAAGGUGGGGAUGACGUCAAAUCAUCAUGCCCCUUAUGACCUGGGCUACACACGUACUACAAUGGACAGAACAAAGGGCAGCGAAACCGCGAGGUUAAGCCCAUCCCACAAAUCUGUUCUCAGUUCGGAUAGCAGUCUGCAACUCGACUGCGUGAAGC
rnacentral:rRNA from 1 species